AGGCGGCUCAGGAGGGGCCAGAGCGGGGGCUGCCUGCCAUGUGCUUCCUGCGCCGCCCGAAGGAGGAGCGGGAUAGCCCUAGGAAGAAUCUGGAAAAGCAAGAAGUCCAGCUGAAUAUAUAAUUCAUCAACAUGUUUGGAGUUUGAGCAUACUCAUUCAAAUUACACACAUACGCGUGGACACAGAACAUAAUGUUUUUUCACUGGCCUGGCUGGCUUUUCAGCAGCUUUUCCAGUUGCAAGCUGCAAAUGUUUCAGUGCCCCCCCAUCAUCUCU